UCCCUUAGUAGCUGCGAGCGAAACAGGGAAAAGCCCCAGCACUGAAUCCCCGGGGGCCUCGCCUCCAGGGAAAUGUAGUGUUUGGGAGGGUCCAUACACCCGAUACCGUCGCACCGCGUCCAAGUCCAUCUUGAAAGAGGCCACGGUCCCGAGAGGGUGCCAGGCCCGUGGUAGGCCGGUGCAGGUGUUGGGUGGACCUCUCCUCAGAGUCAGGUUGCUUGAGAGUGCAGCCCUAAGCGGGUGGUAAACUCCAUCUAAGGCUAAAUACAACCACGAGACCGAUAGCGAACAAGUACCGUGAGGGAAAGUUGAAAAGAACUUUGAAGAGAGAGUUCAAGAGUACGUGAAACCGCUCAGGGGUAAACGGAAAAGACCCGAAAUUUCCGAAGAGGGAGAUUCACGUCUUCUCGCGGGUUCGACGCAUCCAUUCCUCUCCGACGACCCUGCCCCCGUUCGGACUCGUCCGGUGCGUGGCGGUGGGGUUGCAGAGGGUGGUGUGGAGGCCCGCGGCGGACCGCACUUCUCCCUUAGUAGGACGUCGUGACCCGUCCGGUCAUGGUCAUAAGGGUGCAGGGUGGAGCCUGGCCGAUCGUGCUUGCACGUCUUCGGUCAGACCCCCGCGCCCCGGCCAUGAAUUUCGGUCGGUAUCGAAUGACAGUGUUAGGUCACUUACCGGGGGAGGCAACUCCUUCCAGUGAGUGCGUGUGGCUCUCGACAAGGUGCUGGGAUGUCGGUCAAGGCGGGCUCCCGUCCGUCUGGCCCCGCUCGGCCCUGCUGGUCUUGCUGCUCUCACGCUGGCCUAUCUACACUCGUCUACGGCGAAUCAGUUUUGGGCUCUUGUCCGACCCGUCUUGAAACACGGACCAAGGAGUUCAGCGUGUACGCGAGUCAUUGGGUGGUAAAACCCAAAGGCGUAAUGAAAGUGAAGGGAACUUUACGUUUCUGAGGGAGGAUGAGUCGGUUACCCGCAAGGGGCUGCUCCGCACUCCCGGGGCGUCUCUUUCUCAUUGCGAGUGGAGGCGCACCCAGAGCGUACACGCUGAUACCCGAAAGAUGGUGAACUAUGCCCUGGCCAGGACGAAGCCAGGGGAAACCCUGGUGGAGGUCCGCAGCGAUUCUGACGUGCAAAUCGAUCGUCGGAACUGGGUAUAGGGGGCGAAAGACCAAUCGAACCAUCUAUAAUAGAUGAGAACUCCGGCUUUCUUGAACUUUGUUUUUGAAGCCGGGGGCUCGGAUCAGAGUGGCCAAGUGGGCCAAUUUUGGUAAGCAGAACCGGCGCUGUGGGAUGAACCAAACGUCGAGUUAAGGCGCCCAAAUCGACGCUCAUGUGAAACCAUGAAAGGCGUUGGUUGCUUAAGACAGCAGGACGGUGGCCAUGGAAGUCGGAAUCCGCUAAGGAGUGUGUAACAACUCACCUGCCGAAGCAACUAGCCCUGAAAAUGGAUGGCGCUGUAGCGUCGUGCCUAUACUCGACCGUCAACGGCAAAGAUGGCUGGCGGGCAACCGUCGGCCGUUACGCCUUGACGAGUAGGAGGGCCGCGGCGGCGUGCGUAGAAGGGUCUGGGCGCGAGCCUGCCUGGAGCCGCCGUCGGUGCAGAUCUUGGUGGUAGUAGCAAAUACUCCAGCGAGGCCCUGGAGGACUGAUGUGGAGAAGGGUUUCUUGUGAACAGCUGUUGCACAAGAGUCAGUCGGUCCUAAGCCCUAGGAGAAAUCCGAAGCGAUGGGUUGCCGUUAAUGUCAUCAAACAACAUGAAGGCACCCGUUUGGGCGAAAGGGAAUCCGGUUCCUAUUCCGGAACCUGGCAGUGGAACCGUUCCAAUUCGGGCCCUCUGAGGACUCGUCAGGGCAACCUGAAUAGACCCGGAGACGCCGACAGGAGGUUGGGGGAGAGUUGUCUCUUCUCUAUAAGCGAUCGAGUUCCCUGGAAACUUCUAGCAAGGAGAUAGGGUUUGGAUCGCGAAGAGCACUGCAGUUACGGCAGUGUCCCAAUCUUCCUCUCGGACCUUGAAAAUCCGGGUGAGGGCCACGAGGAACCCCACGCCAGACCGUACCCAUAUCCGCAGCAGGUCUCCAAGGUGCAAAGCC
rnacentral:rRNA from 1 species